rnacentral:tRNA from 1 species
UGGGAGGUCGUCUAAUGGUAGGACGGGAGACUUUGAAUCUCUCAAUCUAGGUCCGAUUCCUAGCCUCCCAGCCA